rnacentral:rRNA from 1 species
ACGAACGCUGGCGGCACGCUUAACACAUGCAAGUCGAACGAGAGAAGAGGAGCUUGCUUUUCUGAUCUAGUGGCGGACGGGUGAGUAACACGUGAGCAAUCUGCCUUUCAGAGGGGGAUACCGAUUGGAAACGAUCGUUAAUACCGCAUAACAUAAUUGAACCGCAUGAUUUGAUUAUCAAAGAUUUAUCGCUGAAAGAUGAGCUCGCGUCUGAUUAGCUAGUUGGUAAGGUAACGGCUUACCAAGGCGACGAUCAGUAGCCGGACUGAGAGGUUGAUCGGCCACAUUGGGACUGAGACACGGCCCAGACUCCUACGGGAGGCAGCAGUGGGGAAUAUUGCACAAUGGAGGAAACUCUGAUGCAGCGAUGCCGCGUGAGGGAAGAAGGUUUUAGGAUUGUAAACCUCUGUCUUCAGGGACGAAAAAAGACGGUACCUGAGGAGGAAGCUCCGGCUAACUACGUGCCAGCAGCCGCGGUAAUACGUAGGGAGCGAGCGUUGUCCGGAAUUACUGGGUGUAAAGGGAGCGUAGGCGGGAUCGCAAGUCAGAUGUGAAAACUAUGGGCUUAACCCAUAAACUGCAUUUGAAACUGUGGUUCUUGAGUGAAGUAGAGGUAAGCGGAAUUCCUAGUGUAGCGGUGAAAUGCGUAGAUAUUAGGAGGAACAUCAGUGGCGAAGGCGGCUUACUGGGCUUUAACUGACGCUGAGGCUCGAAAGCGUGGGGAGCAAACAGGAUUAGAUACCCUGGUAGUCCACGCCAUAAACGAUGAUUACUAGGUGUGGGGGGACUGACCCCUUCCGUGCCGCAGCAAACGCAAUAAGUAAUCCACCUGGGGAGUACGACCGCAAGGUUGAAACUCAAAGGAAUUGACGGGGGCCCGCACAAGCAGUGGAGUAUGUGGAUUAAUUCGAAGCAACGCGAAGAACCUUACCAGGUCUUGACAUCGUAUGCAUAGCUCAGAGAUGAGUGAAAUCUCUUCGGAGACAUAUAGACAGGUGGUGCAUGGUUGUCGUCAGCUCGUGUCGUGAGAUGUUGGGUUAAGUCCCGCAACGAGCGCAACCCUUACUGUUAGUUGCUACGCAAGAGCACUCUAGCAGGACUGCCGUUGACAAAACGGAGGAAGGUGGGGAUGACGUCAAAUCAUCAUGCCCCUUAUGACCUGGGCCUCACACGUACUACAAUGGCUGUCAACAGAGGGAAGCAAAGCCGCGAGGUGGAGCAAACCCCUAAAAGCAGUCUUAGUUCGGAUUGUAGGCUGCAACCCGCCUACAUGAAGUCGGAAUUGCUAGUAAUCGCAGAUCAGCAUGCUGCGGUGAAUACGUUCCCGGGCCUUGUACACACCGCCCGUCACGCCAUGGGAGUCGGUAACACCCGAAGCCUGUAGUCUAACCGCAAGGAGGGCGCAGUCGAAGGUGGGAUUGAUGACUGGGGUG